rnacentral:rRNA from 1 species
CACGCUGACCUUAAGCAUAUCAAUAAGCGGAGGAAAAGAACACAGCAGGGAUUGCCUUAGUAACGGCGAGUGAAGCGGCAACAGCUCACCAUUUGAAAUCUGGCUCUUUCAGGGUCCGAGUUGUAAUUUGUAGAAGAUGCUUCGGCGUGUGGUGCCGGUCUAAGUUCCUUGAAACAGGCCGUCAUAGAGGGUGAGAAUCCCGUAUGUGACUGGUCACCUUCGCUCAUGUGAAGCUCUUUCGACGAGUCGAGUUGUUUGGCAAUGCAGCUCAAAAUGGGUGGUAAAUUUCAUCUAAAGCUAAAUAUUGGCCAGAGACCGAUAGCGCACAAGUAGAGUGAUCGAUAGAUGAAAAGCACUUUGGAAAGAGAGUUAAACAGUACGUGAAAUUGUUGAUAGGGAAGCGCUUGCAACCAGACUUGCACGUAGUUAAUCAUCCGGGGUUCUCCCCGGUGCACUUGGCUACGUUCAGGCCAGCAUCGGUUUCGGUGGUUGGAUAAAGGCCUAGCGAAUGUGGCUCUCUUCGGGGAGUGUUAUAGCCCUACGCGCAAUGCAGCCCACUGGGACCGAGAACCGCGCUUCGGCUAGGAUGCUGGCGUAAUGGUUGUAAGCGACCCGUCUUGAAACACGG